rnacentral:rRNA from 1 species
GACGAACGCUGGCGGCGUGCCUAAUACAUGCAAGUAGAACGCACAGUUUAUACCGUAGCUUGCUACACCAUAGACUGUGAGUUGCGAACGGGUGAGUAACGCGUAGGUAACCUGCCUGGUAGCGGGGGAUAACUAUUGGAACCGAUAGCUAAUACCGCAUAAUAUUGAUUAUUGCAUGAUAAUUGAUUGAAAGAUGCUAUUGCAUCACUACCAGAUGGACCUGCGUUGUAUUAGCUAGUAGGUGAGGUAACGGAUCAACUAGGGGACGAUACAUAGCCGACCCGGGAGGGUGAUCGGCACCACUGGGACUGAGACACGGCCCAGACUCCUACGGGAGGCAGCAGUAGGGAAUCUUCGGCAAUGGACGAAAGUCUGACCGAGCAACGCCGCGUGAGUGAAGAAGGGUUUCGGAUCGUAAAGCUCUGUUGUAAGAGAAGAACGGGUGUGAGAGUGGAAAGUUCACACUGUGACGGUAUCUUACCAGAAAGGGACGGCUAACUACGUG